CCCCCCCACCCCUCCUUCCUCUGGAUAGUGAAUAGUGCUACCCCCCAAAUAACAACAUUGAUAGAGGGCCUGUUUCCCCAAAUAACAACACUCAUACAUGUUCCCCCUAUAACAACACUGAUACAGGGCCAGCUUCCCUCAAUAACAACACUGAUACAUGUUCCCCCAAUAACAACACUGAUACAGGGCCAGCUUCCCUCAAUAACAACACUGAUACGUGUUCCCCCAAUAACAACACUGAUACAGGGCCAGCUUCCCCCAAUAACAACACUGAUACAGGGCCAGCUUCCUCCAAUAACAACACUGAUACAGGAGGAAGCUGGCCCUGUAUCAGUGUUGUUAUUGGAGGAAGCUGGCCCUGUAUCAGUGUUGUUAUUGGAGGAAGCUGGCCCUGUAUCAGUGUU
rnacentral:lncRNA from 13 species